ACCCAUCACCGUCUGCUGGUGAGCUGGAUCAGACGGCAGGGAAAACUGACAGACAGAUCCGGUAGGCCCAAGCGCAUAGUGAGGGCGUGCUGGGAACAAGCGUCAGAGGACCCUGUCCGGAAUGAUUUUAACUCCCACCUUCGUGAGAACUCCUCCCAUGUCCCGGAGGAGGUAGGAGACAUGGAGUCUGAAUGAAAAUUUGAUUUUAAAAGCUUUGCUAUGCCUACAUGCUUCUGUAAUAGAACGUUUAAGAAUAAUGUUUAACUGCUGAAUAGCCUAUGCAAGAAAGCGGCACAUUCCAGGCUAUAGUUUGCUCUCUGUAUGUCCCCUUUUGUGCCAGCCUGUUCCCAUGAGAUAUCAGAGAAAUGUGGCUUACGCAGACUCACGUAAAGCCCAGAGGAUGUGUGCAACUGUUUCACAUAAGAAAGGAGAUAAACUGGUGACAGUGGACGUGUGUGAUGAGAGAUUGAGGGGCACAGUGACACACCUGGAAUGUUCAAAAAAUAACAUGUAUUCUGCCUAUGCUUACAAAAAUCUGCCCUAGAAUGUGUAUAAAUAUCUGCUUGCCUGGCUGCUCUGGUGUGACUCUGCGCAUACGAAUAAAUAAGGUUUUCUGCAACUCAAGUGACCGAGUGAUCUAUUUGUAUGACAAUUCUCAUUUUUCCCACCACAGUUUUGGGGGCUCGUCCGGGAUCACGACCUUCUGCCGGGACCGACCCGUGUGCCGCGAGGAACCCGACUAAGGGGGCAACCCUCCUAGGUCUAGGGGACCUGCUGGUGACCCAGCCCGAGCAAAAGUUAGGGCUGGCCCGUCCUGCGGUGCACCGAUCGACUCGGACAGAAUACGUGACACAGCUGCAGGUGUCGGGGAAGGCCGCUUUGUCUCCCGGGCGCCUGAAGGUAGUGCACCCCACCGACGCUGGUGUUUCUCCAGCGAAGGCUCUGAACGUCGAGGGAGCACGAAAGAAGAACCUGUGUGGCCUGGAGGUUGGAGAUUCGAGUCGUUCCGCUAUGCGCGCCGUCUUCCCUCGGCCGGGCGGCAGGCCGCAAGCGCUACUGGACGUUGCUGGGAAGAGGAAGAAACCCCUGCCGAGGGGCGUCACUGCGCCGUCUCCAUUGUAGAGUGGCUCUGUCGACUGGCGCAAAGCGGUACGCUUCAUUUAAAAAUCUCAAAGGCGUUUGGUAAGAAUCUCCAGCCGGGUACAAAUGCCACGGACGAUGCGGUUCCCGACAGCAGGCCGAGGAAGGGGGUCACGGAGAGCGGGGGGCUCGUUGGUCUAGGGGUAUGAUUUUUCCCUUCGGGUGUGAGAGGUCCCAGGUUCAAAUCCUGGACGAGCCCGCCAAGCUCUCUGCUUGGCUGUGUCAGUUGAGCUCUCAAAAGCAUUGCAGGCAAAUUCAGCAUGGGCCAAGGAGCUUGUGGGAAGGCUCCUGCUGAGGAGGGGAAAG
rnacentral:tRNA from 1 species